rnacentral:rRNA from 1 species
AUUGAACGCUGGCGGCAGGCCUAACACAUGCAAGUCGAACGAGUGGCGGACGGGUGAGUAAUGUCUGGGAAACUGCCCGAUGGAGGGGGAUAACUACUGGAAACGGUAGCUAAUACCGCAUACCAUCGGAUGUGCCCAGAUGGGAUUAGCUAGUAGGUGGGGUAACGGCUCACCUAGGCGACGAUCCCUAGCUGGUCUGAGAGGCUGACCAGCCACAAUGGAACUGAGACCAGGGCCAGACUCCUAAGGGAGGCAGCAGGGGGGAAUAGUGCACAAUGGGGGCAAGGCUGAAGGAGCCAAGCCGGGGGGAAUAAGAAGGCCCUUGGGGUGUAAAGUAAUUUCAGCGAGGAAGCGGUACUCGCAGAAGAAGCACCGGCUAACUCCGUGCCAGCAGCCGCGGUAAUAC